rnacentral:lncRNA from 1 species
GCACUCAGUGCAUCUAACUUAAUUGUUCAACAUUCAUACCCAGUGCUUGAUGCUAACUGAUCAUGGAAACCAGGACUGUCCUUUCUGUAACCUAUCCAAUUCCUACCAUCUGUGUGUGUUUCUAACUCUGUGCUCUUUGUGUGAUUCCUAGCAUUUAAACCAUUCUACUUUUUGUGUUCAUAGCCUGUCCAUCAUUUAAAACCCUAUUUCAGUGCUGCUUUCUUUUCUCUAACUGCGUAUCAUGAUUUCCUGUUACACUUGUUUGAGUCAGACAAUGACUACUGAUUAAGGACUGUUUACUUACUACAGUUUCUGUAUAUUUCACUUUAACACUUUAAGAACACUUAUUUUUUCAUGGUUUUGUUCUUGUAAGACUUAUCAAUAGAUAAUAGACUUUGUGUGAGAAAGUACAUGUCUGCACAUCUAGCACAGUGCCUGGAAAGU